rnacentral:rRNA from 1 species
UACGUAGGGGGCUAGCGUUGUCCGGAAUCAUUGGGCGUAAAGCGCGCGUAGGCGGCCCGGUAAGUCCGCUGUGAAAGUCAAAGGCUCAACCUUUGAAUGUCAGCGGAUACUGCCGGGCUAGAGUCCGGAAGAGGCGAGUGGAACUCCUGGUGUAGCGGUGGAAUGCGCAGAUAUCAGGAAGAACACCAACGGCGAAGGCAGCUCGCUGGGACGGAACUGACGCUAAGGCGCGAAAGCGUGGGAGCGAACAGG